rnacentral:tRNA from 1 species
AGGGUUAUAGUUAAUUAUAACAUUUAAUUUGCAUUUAAAAAGUAUUGAUCCAGUAUCAAUUUACCUUA